rnacentral:rRNA from 1 species
UACGUAGGGUGCUAGCGUUGUCCGGAAUUAUUGGGCGUAAAGAGCUUGUAGGCGGUUUGUCGCGUCUGCUGUGAAAUUUCGGGGCUCAACCCCGAACUUGCAGUGGGUACGGGCAGACUAGAGUGUGGUAGGGGAGACUGGAAUUCCUGGUGUAGCGGUGAAAUGCGCAGAUAUCAGGAGGAACACCAAUGGCGAAGGCAGCUCACUGGGACGGUAUUGACGCUGAGACGCGAAAGCGUGGGGAGCAAACAGG